CCCUUCCCUUACCCUCAGCAGGACACAAACAGAGGCCACAACCUCUCAGGAGCAAAAAUGAUGUAUUUUGGGAAAAUGGGGGUAGGAAGAUGUAAUUAGCACACAGAGCAUGCAUGGGCUAACAGGAAAAAACAGGUUUUCUCUGCAUCCACGUCAUUGAUUUUUGGAGAAAAGUUUUCCUACAGUGAAAGGUGUGAGAAGCACACUCUGGUUGACCACACGAGACUCCUGUUUGAGGACAGCAUGGUGGGUAGUGGGGGGCUGAGGGACCUGCCACACUUGGCCCAUGCUGGCAGGGUUUAGCUGGGGACCACAGCUCCCCGCGUAGCAAGAUCCACUUGCCAUACUUGCCAUCCCUGUCUCUGGUCCACUUACACUAUUUAGACAGCUGUGGCUCCUGGGGGUGGCUUUGUGACUGUCACCUGUCAUCACUCUUGUCUGCUCUCAAGAGGAUGCACCCCCAUACUAGCAGGAUGCCCAGCUACCCAGGCCUGAAAUUGUUCCUUGUGCUGCUUUAAUUGGGAGAUGUGAAGUCCUCAGCAAAGCCCCAAUUUCUCUCCCAGGGCUAGUCCAAAAGAUGUCACCAUCGGCUGAGCUUCAACAGCCCUGCCGUCUAGAACUGAGCUGUUUCUGACUGGUCCCUGGCUCUGGGCCGUGGCGGAUACAGGCUGGCCUUCUGGAAGGGGAUCUUCUGGUGCUUUGUCUUCUUUACUGGGCUUCAGACAGGGCAGAAGGAGUCUCAUCCUUUUCCUGAAUCAGCAUUCUGGAAAACCUUGUUCCUUCUCUGGCAGGAGCUGGAGGUCUUUGCUCCCAAGGAUGUUUCCUAUUCCGCUGACCAGGGGAGAGUGGCUCAUCCCACUGGCCUGGGAAGCCCCCAGUCCUGGAAAUCUCUCUCCAUCCUCUCCUGGUCCAGGACUCAUAUACUCCUCCUUCUCAGCAACUUGGGGAAGCCGACUCUUCCAUAGGGCCUUACGUUUUGGUCUCCUAGGCUGCUGCUGCCCCUGAAUCCCCUGUCUACUAGAUUGGAGGUCAUAUGGCACCUGGAAAGCUGCCACGUCCCCACUGUUGUAUUCCCUCUGGGACCUGGACAGUGACCAGUGAGAAGCCAACACAUGUGUGGCAUGGAGCACACAAGUGUGAGAGUCUCGAAGGAGCCGGCCAGCAGCAUGGCCUUGAGGCUGGGUCUGACACGACCUUCCCUUGCAGCUCAGUCUUACUGGUGAGCUUCAUUUUCAAGCACAGCUCCUUUGGAUCUUGGGCAACUGACUUUGUAGGUGGUGAGGGGCUUGUCCUGGACCCUGGAGACACUGGAUUCCUCACAGGCACAUUCACGGUUUGGGGAGUUGGCCAGCACACUGGGUCUCAACAUGAGAUGUCAAAGAAGCGCCUCCUCAAACUCCACAAGCUCACUCGGCCCCUCAGCCCCCGAAGACUGGGACCCUGAGCUGCCCUCCAGUCUUGCUACCCCACGGCAGGGAUCUUGUGAGGCCCCACCCUACUCUCCUCCCUUGGCUCAUUCCUGGCCAUUGCUGAACCUGGACUCAACUCUAACUGCCUCGCUCGGCCCCCACGACCGUCCCACUCUGCCAGCUUCUGCCCGGGAGGCUGAGUGUGAAGGUCUGAGAAGGCGGCCUGUCCUCCUGUCCAUCAGAGGGGCCUCUGAGGGCCCACAGCCAUCACCAGGUAGAGUCCCUCCAGGGCCUUCUGGAUUUCCUCACCCACAGGUGAGGGAGCAGAGAGGGGACGGGCCAGGGUAGGAAGUGACUCUUUUGUUAUUAAACUGUUUUGUUUCUCUGGCGGAGGAGGCUGAAGAGGUUUUCUCAAGAACUUGGUAAAGUUGGCUUCCGAGAGGCCCCAGAUUCACAGGUGGCUGAGGAGGGAAAGUGGACCAUGGAAGAGGUCGGGGGUGCUCGGUCAGAGGAGCCAGGGGAACUGCUGGCGACAUGGCGAGGGCAGCAUCUUCCACAGGCUCCCUGCAUGGCUGAUGGGCUCAGCAUAUGCUGUUUUGCGGACCUCCCCAGGGGAGUCUGGACAUGACAGCCAAUGAAAGCCAGCCUUGUGAGAGAGCCUCCCCAGGAACUGCAGGAGACAGGAGGCACAAGCUGCAGCCAGGAGCAGAGGGCCCCAGGAGGGCUGGGCAGGCCAGGCAGUGUGGCCAUUAAGGGCCACGGCCCUCCACAGCCUCAACCCUCAAGUCACAAAAUUCUCCUGUUGUCCCUCACCCCAGGCCUUUAGCCACACCCUGUCCCCAUGGCCCCCUCCCAGCUCAGCCCCAAGCUGCCUACAGCCCUGGAGUCACAUCAGAGGUUCUGGGAGAAAGAAGGACCCAGGAGAGAUGAAAAGAUUCUUGACCUUUGUGGAACAGAAAUCAGGCCCUGCACUUCUAGUCCUUUCCGACCAUCUCUGUAAGCUGGAAAUCAGGAGACUGGGUCACCGUGCUGAAGGCAGGAGCCUAGGGGUCUUACAGGAGGCUGCAAGAAUGUCCCUUUAGGGGCCACAGUUGAGAGGUCAGACUCUGGAGCCCAGGCAUUAUAUCCAAGGCCAUGGGAUCCCUGACGGGGAUGGCAAGGCUCCUGACGGGUUAAGCUUUCUCUUUGACAAAGUGCUUCCACAUCCACCACAGCCCACAGGGCCUACUGGGCAACACCCAUUUCCAGGCCCCUCCACACUUGGGGCUUGCUUCCCAGCACAGACUCUGGCAAGUCUCUGGGUUCUCAUCUCCUUCCUGGGAGCUUCCCAGAGGGCUCUGUUUCCUGAGGGACAGGCUCUGCCCCUGGCAUCCUCAGAGCCCGUGGAGCUGGGCGCUCAGGGACAGGAGAUGGAGGCCAGCUCUGGGACACAGGGCUGAAUGGCAGAAGCUCACCUUGCAAAAUUCCACUUUUCCUCCUACUCCUGCUGCUCCUCCCUCUCGGCUGCUCUUGAUGCUGAGAAGCAAGAAAAAACAAAAGACACCAGGGGCUGAGACCCAGGGCUCCCUCUCCUCUGUCUAGGCCAGCUGCAGACGCUCAGUGUCCAUGAGCAAGAGGACCUUCUAUACUGAACUCCUGGAGCUCUGUGGUCUUUCUUCCCUUUUGAACAUAAAAUGGAUAUUUGCUGUCUUCCUUCUUUGAAGAACAUAAGGAUUUUCUGUGUGAGACCCACCAUGGAUUUCUUCCAUCACUGUCCUCUGCUCAAGAAACACGCACCUUCUCAGACGUACAGAUGCUUCUGAGCUUCUCAGGCAGGAUUCUGCUUCCUGAGGCCAGAGCCCCACUCCAGGCCCUGCUCGGAGGCUCUCGGGGGCUCAGCACUGCUCUAAGAUCAGCCCCCACGAGGAAAGGUCCGGCUCAUCCACCUGCCACGGGGAGGCAGAUGGGGAACCAGUGCUCAGGGCCUGUCUGCCCACACAGGUCCCACUCAGCAUCCAGUCCUCGGCCGCUGGUCACUGCACUGGGGAGUUUCCCUGGAGCCCUCUGCCACACCUGGACUCAUGCUCCGAGAUCUUCGCAUGGAAAUCCUUGUGCCUACUCUAAGUCCUGCCUCCCCACCUGGCUUGUCCCUAGAAGGGUGAUGUUCUAUUCUUGCCCAUUCCAGGACCAGGAGUCUCUCUAGUUGAUUCAGAAAAGUGGACAUCACAGUAGAAAAGAAGAGAGAAUCAACUUCUGGUGGGUCUUGGCCAAGGGUUCCUCACCUUCCUCAUGUUUCUACGUUUGCAAGGUGGUCGUGAAGAUGGAUUAUUCUGGACGUAGGGAAGGAACAUGAGGAAGAACCCCAGUCCACACUGGAAGAUGGGGAGUCGAUUUGGAUUACAGGACACUCUGGAGUAGGAGAAAGAGUAAGGUUGAGUGAAUGCCUCUGAACGGAGCCAACUGCCUGAUUCCCACCACCAGGUCCUUAUAAAGUCAUCUUCACCGAUGGAACGGCCAGCUGUGGGUCAGACAUCACAAUUAUCAUUAGGACCAAAAGCUGGGUAAACUUUUAGAGGGACUACCUUGGAAGUACAGACAAAGGCAAGACAAAAUUGAGAAGAGGCCUUUUAAUAAUUUGAAAACUGAUCAUAUUUACAACAUAUGUAUCAAUAGCAGGAAAACGCUCGUGGGGGAAUUACCUAAUAACUAUCAAUGUAGGGAUAGCAUCUACAAUUCAGUCAUUCUCAGAUUUUUCAGUGAAAUGUUCCCUAACCAUGAGGAAAGUAGACCUAUAUGUGGAUGAGAGCCUGGCGUGCAGCCAGAGGCAGUCAUCUCAAGCCUGAAAUAUCUGUAAAAUUUACAUAAAUGUUGCAUUAUACUCCAGAAUAGAGCUAUGUUUAUUGUGACAUAGCAGUAUUGCUUCCAAUUUAAAAAUUUUAGUUAAAAUCCUUUGAAAUAUUAAGCAGUUUAAGCAAAACUGACCUCCAGGACGAGGAUUGCUCUAUGGCCCAGGCAUACAUACAUCCCUGGCACGGAGCACCCCACUGUGAGAAGCAUAGCUCUACAUUUUCUUAAGACAUUCAAAUUAAAUCUUUCUUUUAAAAAAAAUGUCUAAACUCCAACACUGAGUCUUUGCUCAAACGAUCCCUUCCAUCUGGAACACUUUUCCUAGCCUUUCCCAUGAAUCUC
rnacentral:lncRNA from 1 species